rnacentral:tRNA from 1 species
ACACCUAUCGUCUAAAUGGUUAGGAUAUAAGACUUUCAAUCUUAUGGUACGGGUUCGAUUCCCGUUGGGUGUACCA